rnacentral:rRNA from 1 species
CAAAUGAAUUGACGGGGGCCCGCACAAGCGGUGGAGCAUGUGGUUUAAUUCGAUGAUACGCGAGGAACCUUACCUGGGCUCAAAUGUAUGUUGACGUAUUCUGAAAGGGAUACUUCUUCGGACAAUAUACAAGGUGCUGCAUGGUUGUCGUCAGCUCGUGCCGUGAGGUGUCGGGUUAAGUCCCAUAACGAGCGCAACCCCCUAUCAUUAGUUGCCAUCAGGUCAAGCUGGGGACUCUAAUGAAACUGCCUACGCAAGUAGUGAGGAAGGUGGGGAUGACGUCAAAUCAGCACGGCCCUUACGUCCAGGGCUACACACGUGCUACAAUGGCCGAUACAGAGGGCAGCUACCUGGUGACAGGAUGCAAAUCUCCAAAGUCGGUCUCAGUUCGGAUCGGAGUCUGCAACCCGACUCCGUGAAGUUGGAUUCGCUAGUAAUCGCGCAUCAGCCAUGGCGCGGUGAAUACGUUCCCGGGCCUU